rnacentral:rRNA from 1 species
AUUAGUGGCGAACGGGUGAGUAACACGUGGGCAACCUGCCCUCAGCUCUGGGAUAACUCCAAGAAAUUGGUGCUAAUACCGGAUAUUCUUCUUUCACCGCAUGGUGGUUGGAGGAAAGUUUUUCGGCUGGGGAUGGGCCCGCGGCCUAUCAGCUUGUUGGUGGGGUGAUGGCCUACCAAGGCGACGACGGGUAGCCGGCCUGAGAGGGUGACCGGCCACACUGGGACUGAGACACGGCCCAG